UUGAAGAAUUGCAGGUGGUGGUC
rnacentral:miRNA from 1 species